CCAUUGCUACCUUUGAGAAUUCUUAAGAGCUAAGAGGACCCUGAUUUAGGGGCAUUGUUGUAAAUGAGGAUACUGGACAAGAAACCCAGAGGUUUGGACUCUGGUGGAGCCACAGCCAAGGAUCUAUUCCCAGCAUCUUUAUUUCCUCAGCUGCAAAGUGAAAUCCAGAAGUGGCUGCAGUCCAAGGCUCCUUCUGGACCCGUGGUUUUUCCUCUCCUGGACCUGAGCCCUGGCGGAACAGGGUCUGUCCAUUCUGAGGGGAGACGAGAGUCCGCGUUCAUGACUCUUGGGAGCCAUGGAUGGAGAGAUCCCAGCUGUCUGCCAACCCGAACCUGGCAGGUCUUUGGCAGUGUGAUCAACAGCAUGUACUUUGAGAUAACCAAGACUUAGGGAGAAGGUUGUUAAAGCUUGACUCCAUGACUCAGGAUGAGCAGUAAAGGACUGACCUUGGUUAAAGAAGAGUUUGGUCCUUUGCCCUUGACUCCAAGGAAGUAAUCUCUAAACUCGUGCAAUGUUCUGCCUGAUAUUAGCAUCUUUGUUUACUUAGGGGUCUUCAGCCAGGCCAGAUAGUCUAUGCCAACAGUAUAAUUUUUGGUGAAGGGCAUUGGGUCAAGUGGUACCAGCUCAAGUUCUAGAAAGUCUUGAGCUUAAGAUCACUCAUGUGGGUGAUCAGCUUGUCUACAGAUGACCAAUUCCUAAUCAAAACUCUGGACAACACAGCUCAGGUGAGCUUCCUGGCUGGAAGUGUUCUGUGCAUGUUCCCAUCCAUGGUCACUGGGAGUAAUAUGGGCUAUCCACAUGAUUCCACUGGAACAGGACACAUGGAAACUUCAUGCUUUUGCUAAUUUUAAUCUGUAUCCUUUCACUGUGAUAAACCAGAGCUAUGAGUAUAAUGACUCUUCUCAGUAUUAUGAGUUUUACCAGUAAAUGAUUGAAACUGAAGGUGGUCUUAGGGACCUCUCAAACAUUCUACAGGGCAUUGGGCAUAUGUGUUCACUGAUAGAGGAAGGCUCAGAGAGAGAAGCAUAGAUAAGAGGUAUGAUGGAUGAAUGGCAGGGAUAAGAGAGAGAAAACGCUAUCAUGUGUCUGGUUCUAAUUCUUGAGACCCUUGAAGACACAUUAUUAGUUACUUCCUUCAAUCUGUGGAUUAUCCCGGUGUAUAAUUAUUCAAUGUAAAAUGUAUAAAAAUACCUGCUAUAAAAUAAUUCAAUCCAUCUCCCUCCCCCUCUUCAAAUAGUUUAUAUUGCAUUUCUGAAAGGUUUUCAAUUAUUAUGGCAUUUUUCAAUUUCAGUUAUAUUUAGCAAAAAAUAUAUCAUUUCUCAUCCUUAAGGAAGUGGAUGUGAUUAGUAGUGAAAUGGG